rnacentral:rRNA from 1 species
CCUACGGGUGGCAGCAGUAGGGAAUAUUGCUCAAUGGGGGCUACCCUGAAGCAGCAACGCCGCGUGGAGGAUGACGGUUUUAGGAUUGUAAACUCCUUUUGUUAGAGAAGUUAAGUACGGUAUCUCACGUAUAAGCACUGGCUAACUCGGUGCCAGCAGCCGCGGUAAUACGGAGGGUGCAAGCGUUACUCGGAAUCACUGGGCGUAAAGAGUGCGCAGGCGGGCUUGUAAGUCAGAUGUGAAAUCCUGUAGCUUAACUAUAGAACUGCAGUUGAAACUAUGAGCCUAGAGUGUGGGAGAGGUAGGUGGAAUUCGUGGUGUAGGGGUAAAAUCCGUAGAUAUCAAGAGGAACACUGAUUGCGAAGGCGGCCUACUGGAACAUUACUGACGCUCAUGCACGAAAGCGUGGGGAGCAAACAGGAUUAGAUACCCGAGUAGUC